rnacentral:rRNA from 1 species
AGUGAACGCUGGCGGUAGGCCUAACACAUGCAAGUCGAACGGCAGCACAGUAAGAGCUUGCUCUUACGGGUGGCGAGUGGCGGACGGGUGAGGAAUACAUCGGAAUCUACUUUUUCGUGGGGGAUAACGUAGGGAAACUUACGCUAAUACCGCAUACGACCUACGGGUGAAAGCAGGGGAUCUUCGGACCUUUCGCGAUUGAAUGAGCCGAUGUCGGAUUAGCUAGUUGGCGGGGUAAAGGCCCACCAAGGCGACGAUCCGUAGCUGGUCUGAGAGGAUGAUCAGCCACACUGGAACUGAGACACGGUCCAGACUCCUACGGGAGGCAGCAGUGGGGAAUCUUGGGCAAUGGGCGCAAGCCUGAUCCAGCCAUACCGCGUGAGUGAAGAAGGCGUUCGGGUUGUAAAGCCCUUUUGUUGGGAAAGAAAAGCAGCAGGUUAAUACCCCGCUGUUCUGACGGUACCCAAAGAAUAAGCACCGGCUAACUUCGUG